rnacentral:tRNA from 1 species
GGGGGUGUAGCUCAGUGGUCAGAGCGUCGGGCUUUUAACCCGAGCGUCGAGGGUUCGAUCCCCUCCACCCCUACCA